CUUCGUCAGAGAAGCUGAAUCAGCAAGUCAAGCAUGCGAUGGCUGCAGCAGCUGGAGAACUCCGGAGGUCAUUAUGGCUCUUCACACACACGAGAGAAGAAAGAGGGAGGAGCAGAGAGCAGAGGAAACUGAGAUGACAGCGCGUGGCCGGUCAGCCGCGGUGUGGUCGGUUAGAGGGAGUGGAGUUUACAGCUCUGCAGCAGCAGGACGAAAAAAACUACUUCUCUGGGAACACCUCGGGAAAUUGCUGGUCAGGCAGCAGGCUGCUGCAGCACAGCCCUCUCUGGCUCAUUACCUCCUCGUGGCUGCAGCACCAAAGACAUCUAAAAGAGGGACUCAGAAACUCACUGUCCCUGAAGCGUGAAGCUUUUAUCUUGGAUCUUUUUCACUCUGAGGCACUUUCAGAUGGAAUACAACUCUAUCGGGAUGGUUACACACUUUGCCAAGACUCAGUUUUCCAUUGGCCAGCCAUUAUUACUGGAACCAUGUUUGGCGUUUCAAGACCGUUUUUGUAAUAGCAGGGGGACAGGUGAACGCUAGCCAUGGAGGGGCUUUGGUGUCACAGUGGGACGCAAGUUUCAGGCCAGGUGGGGGGUGAAUUGGACUGAUGGAUAAACAGAUGUGCUGGCAUAUAAAUUCUCCAGGGAGAGCGGUUCGGUGGCUACUGGAUAUGUGUGUCAGUGAGUGAACCCACAACACUCAGGGUAGUAACCUAGUUUCUCUCAGUCUCUCUGCAUGCUUUCUAAUCACUAGGCAGGGGCAGAGCUGUAAUGCUGCAGUGCCAUCUCCCCUUCUCAACACACUCAUCCCUAAAUCUUCACUAACACUGUGGCGCUACAAGAGUCCAGCCAUACCUCGCAUCAUAUCUAACCCCGUCAAGCACCACAAACCCAUCCAGGAUUUCCACCCCUGCCCAGAAUAGCCUGUCUAAGUGUCCUUCUGUCAUGUUUCCACCCCUGCACCUCUCCUUUUGGCCUGGUAUUGGAUAGGCUUCUCAGAGGAGGGGGAUGAGACAGGGCGGUGUUGACUUGUGGAAUGUGUGGAGCUGGAGCAAAGAUUCAUUAGAGAGCUACUGAACAUUUCAUGCUGCCAUGCAAACAGUUAUUGAUCUCUAGCACACAGCAUUAGAGCUCUAGAGUAGCUUCUAGAAUAAAAACAACCAGGUCAAAAAAAAAAAAAGGAAUAUGGGGGGUUGCAGGUAAAAAAAAGGGGGAGUAGGGGAGGAGAAUCAGCACACUUGUGACCAAUCACUUUUGCUGAGUGAGCAUUAGUUCUUGCAUGUGACCUCUGGCCUGGUCUGUGUGGCUAAAGCCCAAAUCCUGCUCACAAUAGCUUCCUGUUCCACUUGGAUCAACCUCAUUUUUGGACCUCAGCAACCAUUCUGACAUACAACUGAGAAUGUGGUUAAACAACGGACAACCAGAUGGAAAAUGGGUGAAAAACACUGGAAAAACAGAUGGAAAUGGGUAAAAAGGAGAUGCAUAGCAUGUUCAGGACACGGUUACAUUAGAAAUGCGUCUUUUUUCCUCCAAGGAGUCCUUUGAACUUUCAUGGACAAGAACUGCAGGCAACAAGGACAGCACAGGACCACUUUCCCCUAAUUUUUAACAGGAUUUUUUUUUACUAAAUUUAGAAAAAGACCACCCCCCCACCCCCAACAAAAAAGCAAAUAACUCUAUGGCACCAUUCUUUUCCAGAUUCCCUACGGAUACCCCACACUCUCUCGAGGACAGCCAAGGUCAACAGAAGAUACAAAACUGAGUGAACCCCAAUAUGUCUAAUGCUCACUGCGAACACUGUUGGAAUAAGGCAAAAGAAAAAAAGCGUGACCUAAAGAAUCAGUGAAAGUCACUUUAUGUAUAAACCGCUGCAUUCUGCAGGAUGGUAAAAAAAGAAAAGAAAAAAGAAGCCACUUAUCUACUGAUGUGAUUAAACAUGUUUGGUUUAAAUAAGGGCCGCGCUAACCAAACGUCAUAUCAGAGAAGGUAAGAAAACUCAGCUCUGUCUGGGGCUGCCUACUUGGUGUACAUACUUCUUUAUGUGCCCAUAUGAACAUAUGACAGCUAUGGAAUGUAAAGAAGUAUGUAUUCUUGGUCAGGUGCUGAUCCUCCGUUUUGAAAAUGUACCAUAAUUCUCUGCAUCACUGAAUAUGGGCACAUGGAAACAGCAUGAUGGAUUUUGUAACUGUCGUGCAGAAAGUUACUGCAGCAGUGGAUUCGGGGAGAAGUUGCUGCUCUUUCAGUGACAUCACCAGCAGUCCACACCACCUCUCCCUAAUUUAGCAACUAACCUGCGUGAUUGUCAUGCUAUAGUUUCAUUUCUGCAGGUAGACUAUUGGUAGAUAUACUGAUUUGUAGUGCCCAAUUUCUUGGUGAAAGAAUGACUUCAGUCACUGCUACCUCAAAUAUCCAAUAACAGCUUGAAACAUCGCCAUAGGAACAGGAGCUCCUUUCAUUAUUGGAGGGUUUGCUGCAUUCUAAGCUUUGAAUUGUGGCCAGCUGCAACCAAGAUCCUGUUUUUGCAGGAGUGGCAUGCGCCAGAACCAUUAAUGCCUUCAUCUUUUUAUGUCCCUUAAACGUUUUAUCUCACUACACGGAAGCUGCUGAGGUAACCGUUCCAUAAAGGUGAGCAGAGCUUGGCUAUUAAAAAAGGAAGCUUCUCUCACAUUAUGGGAUAGGAGCGUUGUCUGUUUCACCCUGACACCCGUUCCUGCCCCUAUUGUUCAUGUUUGCUAGGCUUGCCAAAUGCUUUGCUGGUGCACAGAGUAGUCAGAUUAGAGCAUGGAAAAGUGACAAUGCAGGAUCAGAGUUGGGUCUGCCUGUCAGCUGAUUCCAAUUGUCCUGCAAAAGGUAGAACAGGGGCCUCUUUUUCACUUUUGGACUGCGGGUGUGCAGCAGGUCACAAUGAAAAUCAUUGUAAAAACAGCAGCAUGAUUGUACAAGUAGAACAAAUGUAUUACACAAUGCUGAACCUUUAAACCGAUCAACAGGUGAUCAAAUAGUUGUGGGAGGGGACAAGAUAACAGAGGACUAUUAUACUUUCAGGGGUUUGAAUGCUCCUCUACUCCAGGUGUUUGGUAGCACACCACGUCAUCGAUCUACUGAGGAUGAGGAAAGUGAUGCUCACUGGCAGCAUAGCUUCAGCCCACUCUCCAUGUCCUCUCUGAAGUAGUUUGAUGCGAUCAAUGUCAUAGCAGAUCUGGACCAAGUCUCCCACCAUGAACUGAGAGCUGCCUCCCUCAGCACCAGCUGCCACCUCUCCACUACGUACAACGUUUGCCUUUGUGAGAACCGCUGGGUUAAAUGUCCACCUGGAACACACAAAAGGGCUUUGUGUUCAUUUCAAAGGAUACUGCACAACAAUGUCAUGGUCUUCAUCAAUGCCGCACACAGUGCCUGUGGUUGUGAGUGUUUCAAACAUGCCAUCAGUCCAACCUCCGUGACCAUGCUGCAGCGACUGAACGAUCUCCAGGUCCAAAUCAAUGUUGAC